CACAUAAACACGGUAAUAAUCAGUGUAUCACUGUGGAGAAAAGCAUCUCCUGAGUGACACGUAGGGGUUAGCUGAGGGUGACGCUCGGAGACAGGGAUAAACGGACAGAGAGACGGACGGACGGAGAGCUGGAAAAGUGCAUCGCUUCCCUGUCAAGUGGCCCACAGAGUCGGUCUCUCUUUGUCUCCCCCUUUCACUCUCUCUCUCCUCUUUCUCUCUCCCUCCCUCCCCCUGUACACCAGUGGCCAUCCAAGAGGGAGAUCUGUUCUGCAGAUCCUGAAAUAAGUGGAAAACAAAGGCAUUUUGUGAAAGGGCGGGGGGGGGUUGUGGUUGGGGUCCACAGAGGCUGAUGAGGACCCCCAGGUACAUACACACACACAAAUGGUGCAACUGGACAGGCCAUGGAGUUUCCAGAACAACUGAAACUGUCUGACUGUCAGUUGCAACAUAGCUAGUGAGUUGUAGUGAUUUUUUUCUUCUUUCAUUAUGGCGCACACACACACACACACACACACACACACACACACACACACACACAGACCUAUAGGAGAUGAACAAAGCUUUUGGAAGGGGCUAUGGUCCACCCCAGGGCUCGAAGGACCUGAAAAACCUGCUUGCUCUGGGGUUGGGCCGCGAGCCGCCGGGCACACAGUCAUCGGCCAUGCCGCACCUCCUCGCGCUCUGCCUCACGGCGUCACAGGAGCGCCCCCUGCAGCCCUCUCGCUUCCUGUCUUCUCUCGCUUUUCUAUUUGACUACUGUCGGCCGUGUCCCCAGCCUUAACUCCUCCUCCUCCGGCGGACAAGGGGGCCAAGGGGCUGAGCUCACCUGGGACACUCGCUUUAUGGCCCUCAGACGCCUGUACAGGUGAAAAUGCAAAGUACAAGUGCCCAACUUGUGACCAACCUGACCACAGCAGCCCAGAACACCACCACCAAGUCCUAUGAGCAGAUUCUCAUUCAGAGCUCGGGAGCCAUGAUCGCUGUGAUCGUCAUCGGCAUCAUCAUCAUCCUUACGACGCUGCUGAUCAUUCUCAAGACCUACAACAGGAGGACGCAUGCAUCCCGCAUGCUCACGGGGGGCCCCAAACAUCGACAGAAGUCCUCCUCGACCGUUCAGACCAACGUGCCCCUGCACAGCGUGGGAGCAAACUCGAACUCUGUGUCCGGAAGUUUCGGCCAGCCCAACGGCAACGUGGGAAAUGGCUUCCGGUCGCCCCAGGUCGACCCGAUCGGCCAGGACCGGAACCGCGUGGAGCAGAACAGCACGACCAGCGGUUCCACUGUGGUCACUGUGCACGACACACCAUCUCUGGAGAACACAUAGCCGCCCUGCGGCACUGACUGACCUCCAGCGCUCGAGGCACGCUUGGGAAUGGAAAGGGCGGAGAAGGUACGCCAUCGGACCCCCGAGGGCUGGGCCACAGCAACCGGCAGACCCUAAAACACUCAAACGCUCCGUUUAAUGAAGGACAGGAUCACCACGAACCGGGGCUUCGGUCAGUUCCAGAAGCGCCAUCUCUGGCCCAGCUGUGAGGCGGCAAACUUGGAGACUUGUGUGGCGAAGGGCCAGAAAGAUCGCAGACCGAAGAGGUUACAGGUGUUCCUCGUAAUUUCUGUUCCGUCUCUUUACAUGUAUGUUUUCUUAAUACUAAUAAUAAUAAUAAUAAUAAUAACGGAUAAAUACAUAAAUAAAAUGAGUUGAUAGCGAACA
ensembl:lncRNA